UACGUAGGGUGCGAGCGUUGCCCGGAUUUAUUGGGCGUAAAGGGCGCGUAGGCGGUUCUGCACGUCCGUUGUGAAAUCGCCCGGCUCAACUGGGCGGGGUCAGCGGAUACGGCGGAGCUUGAGCAAGCUAGGGGGCAAUGGAAUUCCCGGUGUAGUGGUGGAAUGCGUAGAUAUCGGGAGGAACACCAGUGGCGAAGGCGGCUAUCUGGACAGAGUCUGACGCUGAGGCGCGAAAGCUAGGGGAGCAAACAGG
rnacentral:rRNA from 1 species